rnacentral:lncRNA from 1 species
CUCCCCUUUGCGCUCGCCCAUGGUGCCCUCAGUUGCCUGAGCUUGGAUCUGACUGGCCAUGGGCCCAACCAUGGAUGAGCCACCUGAGCCAAGCCCCUUCUUCAUUGUCAUCAGAACCACGAUCUCCCGCACCUUCCACCACCUUCAGCGAUGAGGCACCUAGACUCCAGCCACUCCCUCCUACUUCCAUAAAAUUCUCUGUCCGCAAAAGAUA